CUGGACAUCGAGAUCGCCACCUACAGGCGCCUGCUGGAGGGCGAGGAGCAGAGGUUGUGUGAGGGCGUUGGCUCCGUGAAUGUGUGCGUGAGCAGCUCCCGCGGUGGCGUCGUUUCUGGCGAUCUCUGCGUCUCUGGUACUGCCCCUGCUGUCAACACCAGAGUGUGCAGCGCCCCCUGCAGCGGCAACGUGGUGGUGGGCACCCCUAAUGCCUGCGCCCCCUGCGCCGGGGUGGGCUCCUGCAGCGGAGGCUGUAAGAAGUGCUAGGAAGCCGCAAUACUGCCACCACCCUCACCCUUCCCAAAGUGACUGCACAGCAGGACAGUGGCCUCGACGCCUCCAUCUCAUUCUCUAGCCUUCCCAAGCAACUUUCUCCGACGAUUCUUGCUUUCAUUUCCCCUUCUGUUGUUUUUACUGGAUUCAUUGGUCUUAAGGUCUUGGAGGAUUCACUGCCCUGGAUCCUCUUUGACCGCCAGGUCCCUAGCAUGUUUUUGCUUGGACAUGCAGAUCAACGUGGUUGCUGGUUUUCCUGCCGCUCAGCAAGAGACCACGUGACCCAGAGUAUCUCCUUCAGGGUCUGCCUGCAGCAGCUCCUCCCAAACCAGGGACCCAGCUGUCUGCACUUUUGCCUUUGUCUCCCUUUGCGUUCCCAAUAAACUAA